UUGAUUAAGCAUCCGUAGUCUCUCGACUUUCAUCACUCAAUAUGCACGCAUCGCGGCUGCUUUUCCUUGUAAUCAGUUUUGCGAUUUUCCUGCAACGGAUGGCGGGACAAGACACACAACCUAUAAGCAUGGAGUUCCAGAAUUUUAAUUUUAUUGCAUUGGGAAACUCUGCCAGCAAUGUGAGAUGGGGAAUGAAGGUCCGUUCAACAAGUACUCCUCGUGGAACUACUCCGAAACCCGAAAUCAAUCCGAUGAAUGAAACAAUCAUAGUGUAGUCGGAACUAUACAGAUACAGGAACCUAAAAGUCUGCAAGUCCUGCCCGCACAUUGUAACAUUUCCAGAAACCAAGGCAGAUAGAAUGUAGUCCCUGAUCCGCCUCGAAGGACCAAAGCGGCUGGCGCCGCCUUUGUGGAAGCUCUAGCCGAGAUCAGAGGAGCAUCUUUAAGGGAGUGCAGAAAGAAGUGGCCUCACGAGGCACCAAGAUUUAUACACCAAUUUGCCAAGUUGUAUUGUAAAACUAAUAAAUUGUCGCCGCUAA